UACGGGGGGGGCAAGCGUUGUUCGGAAUUACUGGGCGUAAAGGGCUCGUAGGCGGCCAACUAAGUCAGACGUGAAAUCCCUCGGCUUAACCGGGGAACUGCAUCUGAUACUGGAUGGCUUGAGUUCGGGAGAGGGAUGCGGAAUUCCCAGUGUAGCGGUGAAAUGCGUAGAUAUUGGGAGGAACACCAGUGGCGAAGGCGGCUACCUGGACCGGUUCUGACGCUGAGGCGCGAAAGCGUGGGUAGCAAACAGG
rnacentral:rRNA from 1 species